rnacentral:rRNA from 1 species
ACUCCUACGGGAGGCAGCAGUGGGGAAUCUUGGACAAUGGGCGCAAGCCUGAUCCAGCCAUGCCGCGUGAGUGAAGAAGGCCCUAGGGUCGUAAAACUCUUUCGCCAGGGAUGAUAAUGACAGUACCUGGUAAAGAAACCCCGGCUAACUCCGUGCCAGCAGCCGCGGUAAUACGGAGGGGUUAGCGUUGUUCGGAAUUACUGGGGCGUAAAGCGUACGUAGGCGGAUUAGUCAGUCAGAGGUGAAAUCCCAGGGGCUCAACCCUGGAACUGCCUUUGAUACUGCUAGUCUUGAGUUCGAGAGAGGUGAGUGGAAUUCCAAGUGUAGAGGUGAAAUUCGUAGAUAUUUGGAGGAACACCAGUGGCGAAGGCGGCUCACUGGCUCGAUACUGACGCUGAGGUACGAAAGUGUGGGGAGCAAACAGGAUUAGAUACCCUGGUAGGAUAGCG